CCCCUCUGUAGCCUUCCUAAAUUUAUCUCAGGAUUUAAGUAAAAGUGAAAUAAUCUUACAGUGUACAGUAACUGGGGGACACAGGAGCACAGCUGUCCUGUUUUUAGACUAAAACAGCAUAAAGAUGUGAUAUAACGUUUUCUAACGGGUAACAUGAGGCUUCAGGAGAAGGGGGGCAAGUGUUGUGUUUAAAGCAAAUAUAAGCUGUCACAGUAUGCUUGGGAAAAGAUGUACAGUUUCAACUACUGAUGUGGGUGGGGGACACCCCAGACCUAUUGGGCUGGGAUGCCUUGCAGCAUUUAUAAGGAAUUACUGUAUGAAAUAGCAUUUAUGUGAACUAUCUCAAUAGAGUUAUGUGAUAUUGUGAUUGUUUUACCUAAUGAGGGAAUCCAUAAGGACGGGCUACUCCAAGUAUUAGAUCUUUAGAUGGAAAAAAGGGUAUAAAACCAACGACAUGAUAAAGCCAGGGUGAAUUCCUUCUCAGAACGAGCUCAACUGGUGAUGUAUUGGCUUAAGGGGGUAGUGCAGUCUAAAGACAAAAUUCCCUUGACCCCUGCAGCAGAAACCUUUUUUAAUGUUUUGAAACAAGCCUUCUUGCAGGUACUGGCCCUGGACUGGAUUCCCUCAGACGGAUCAUCUGUAUGUAAUCUGUAUUGGGUUGCUGCCACUGCCUCUGUGUCUACCAAACACUUGAUGACAGAGAUAAGCCCUCGGUGGGCACUGCUCUACUGCUUGUAUUAUGAUCAAGGGACACACUUCACAGGGAAGGUGUGUCAGGAUUUGGCCGCAUUGUUCGGGGUGAGAUGGACUGAGAUCACCCUGUCUGCUGGAACAGUGGAAAGAAGGAACAGAACUCUGAAAGAUCGACUAGACAUCAGACUGAAGGAACGCCAUGGGAUGUGGGCUGGAUCAAACAGAACUGUGUAACAGAGCCUGUUUGAUAUCAUCAUGGGCCAAUCAACUAAACUUCCUGGAGGGCCG
rnacentral:lncRNA from 1 species